UUAAAGAAAUGCAAGGGUGAUGUGGUGGGGCCGCAAGUGAAGGGGAAACCUGCUAUACAAUAUACAUAUAAGGAUGUUUAAAAUGGAAAGAAUUCCUUUGGCUCGAGAUUUGUUCCGUUAUUAAAAGAGGAUCACGUGGAGGGGAGCACGAAAUUGAAGGAGAUAUGAUUGAAGAGAAAUCAAAGGAGAAUAUUUCCAUUAAUUCUAGUAACGUAAAGGAGAAGGAGGGGGAAUGAGUCUUGAUUGGCUCCACAUAUUUCGAAAUCAACAAAUGCUGCAGAUUAUGAGGUGGGGCCACGUGAUGAAGAGUUAAUUUCCAAGUUUGAUGAUCCAAAAGCUUUUAAAUGGCACAUGAGCAGUGGUUCGUUCGAAGGAGAAGCCAGUGGAGUUAAGGUGGGUCCCACAAGCGGUUGUCAAUAAGAUAAAACACAUGGAGGAAAGAACCCACAACGUAAGGACCCUAAAAAACAAGGGAAUGUAAAAGCACAUUUGACCAAAGCUGUAACAGUGGAAGUCAAGGGAGGAAAUUUUCAAGGAAAAAAAGGUCCUAAGAGAGAGCAUCAUCAUUACUGCAAUAGAUGAAGGGAAUUCCUGAUUUCAUUGGGUAGGGAGGGAUAGCCUUACCUAUAAUAGAAACUUAACAGCAUGGAGGUUAUUCUUUUCAUUCAGAGUAUGAAAAGGCAGAAACAGGAAUCAAGGAGGAGGAAAAAAGUUCUGAUAAGGAGAAGGAAGACAUGGAGAUUGAGAGGAUUGAUGGUGAACAAAUACAAACGGAGGAUGUUGUUGACUACUCCAUGCCAGUGCAACAAGAGAUGGUGGAAAGGUCUGGAAUACCAGCUGUCUUUGUGUUUCUUACUGGAGACCCAUGCUUCCUAUAAGAAAGCUGAAAAAUGUUAUUAGGAACUUGGGUUUUGAUUCGCAUUAUAUUGUGAGUUCUAAUGGCCAGUCCAGGGGCACAUGGUGUUUAUGGAAAUCCAAUGUUUGGAAGGUGGAAGUCUUGCAGUUGGAGGCUUAAUCCAUUCAUAUGAAGGUUAAACAAGGGGCUGAGGAUAGUUGGUUUCUCAUGACAGUCUAUGGAAGUCUGAUUCCUGCUUUGAGACAUUCUUUAUGGAAUUUGUUGAAAGAUUGUAGUGAGAGUAUGGUGGCUCCGUAGGCGAUUAUGGGGGAUUUUAAUGCUAUUUUGUAUGAUAAUGAACGUCAUGGAGGGGCUUCAAAUCCUUGCACUGUAGGGAUGAGAGAGCCUUUAAGGAGAUGGUGGAGUGUUGUGGUUUGUUAGACGUGGGGUUUGAAGAGCCAAAACUCACAUGGAAGAGAGGUGAUCUUCAAGUAAGAUUGGACAGGGUUCUUAUUAAUCAGUGUUGGAGAUUAAGGUUCCCUAGAGCCAAGGUGAGUCAUCUGUUUCAUUAUAAGUCUGACCAUCCUCUCCUCCAUGUUUUUCUUGAUGUGGGGAUCCCUAUGAAUCAAAGGAGAAGGCCCUUCCGAUUUCGGGCUGCUUGGCUCUCUCAUGAUGGCUUAGCUUCGCUUGUUAGAGAUAAUUGGUGUAACAAUAUGGAGUGGAAUGCUCAUUUGGUGGAAUUUACCAAAACCAUUAAGGUGUGGAACACUAAUGUUUUUGGUAAUAUGUUCUGGAAAAGAGAAGAAAUUCAUAGUAGACUACGUGGAAUUGAUAGAUCCUUGAGUAGGGGGCCACAAUGAUUUCCUUUACAAUUUGCACCAGGAUCUUUGGAGGGAAUUGGAGGAUAUUUUAUUCUAGGAGGAAUUAUUAUGGUUCCAGAAAUCUCGGUGCAAGUGGUUGAAGUUUGGUGAUAGGAAUUCUCGUUACUUUAACUGUUCUACCAUUGUCAAGAGGCAGAGGAAUUCAGGGGAAAAUUGAUGAAUGAUAAGGAGGAGUGGGUGGUGACGGGUGUUCAAGAGCUUGAAGAAAUGGUCAAUUCUUUUUAUAAAGACUUAUUCAGAAAGGAGGGGGAGCAUGAGGAGUUCUGCCUCAAAGGUAAAUUUCCAAAGUUGGAUCAAUUAGAGUUGGAGUUGAUUGAGGCUGAUAUUACAGAUGAGAAGGUUAAGGGAGAGCCAUUUUCAACAAGGGGAGCUUUAAAGCUCUAGGGGAGGAUGGCUUUCAAACACCUUCUUUUUUUUUUUUUUAUCAAAGCCAGUGGGAGGUGGUUGAUCCUUCCUUGUGUGGCCUUAUCAAGGAUUUGUAUAGGAAUCCCUCAGCAAUGCAGAGUUUGAAUAAGAUCUUGAUAUGUUUGAUACCUAAGAUUGAUGAUGCUUACUGUUUGACUCAUUUCAGGCCUAUAAGUCUUUGUAAUGUCUCAUAGAAAGGUCUUACAAAGGUUUUUGCAUCAAGGCUUAGGAUGGUGAUGGAUAAGAAGGUUGGUCCUACUCAAUGUAAUUUUGUGCCUCAUAGACAAUGUAGGGACAACAUUAUUAUCACUCAAGAGGUUAUUCAUCCUACGAGAAAGAAGAGAGGGGAGAAAGGUUGGAUGGCCAUAAAAAACUGAUUUGGAGAAAGCUUAUGACAGGCUAAACUGGGAAUUCAUUGUAGAUACCCUCAAAGAGGUUGGUUUACCCUCUUCUUUUAUUGAUGAUUGUUUUAUUGCAUAACUGCUUCCUCUAUCCAAAUGCUUUGGAAGGGUGAGGCUCUGGAGAGUUUUAAGCCUAACAGAGGUAUAAGACAAGGGGAUCCUCUUUCUCCUUAUCUUUUUGUGUUAUGCAUGGAGAUGUUGAGUUAGAUGAUAAAUGUGGCAGUUGAUAGUGACCUGUGGAAACCCAUUCAGGUGGGGAGAAAUGGUCCAAAGUUGUCUCAUUUGGCUUUUGCAAACGACCUUAUUCUCUUUGCAGAAGCAUCUUUGGAUCAGGUGGAGGUAAUCACAGCUUGUCUAGAGUUCUUCUACAACAGUUCUGGUGAAAAGCUGAAUGAUGAUAAGACGAGGAUAUUCUUUUCUCAUAAUGUGAAUGGGAGGGUUAAGGUGGAUAUUAGCCAGGCCAUAGGUUUCCAACGUACAAAUGAUUUGGGAAGUACUUGGGAAUCAAACUUCAUCACAGGAGAGUUUUGAGGAACUCCUAUAAUUGUAUUCUUGAGAAAUCACAACAAUAGUUGAGUGCUUGGAAGUCUAGAACUCUAUCAUUUCCAAGUAGAUUAACUCUCACUAAAUCUAUUUUAAAUGCCUUGCCUCUUUAUACAAUGCAAUCCGAGUUUUUGCCAAGAGGGUUUUGUGACAAGUUGGAUCAAACAUGUAAUUUUAUUUGGGGAGAUACUGGGUCAAGAGAAAGGUUCACUGGGUAGCCUGACAAGCUCUUUGUAAGCCCAAACAGAAGGGAGGUCUAGGGUUACGGUUAGCUAGACAUGUCAAUAAACCUUACUAGUUUGUGGGUGAGAGUUAUCAGAGGUAAAUAUGGGUGUUCAGCAUAGGCUAUUUCAUUGGUAUUGGAUGGCUGUAAUCCGGAUUAUACCUGUUAUCCCAUAGUGCGAGCUAUAAAGGAAUGGAAUGGUCUUCCUAUGCAAGUAAAUAUGGGUGUUCAGCAUAGGCUAUUUCAUUGGUAUUGGAUGGCUGUAAUCCGGAUUAUACCUGUUAUCCCAUAGUGCGAGCUAUAAAGGAAUGGAAUGGUCUUCCUAUGCAAGUGAUUUUUAAGCAUGUGCUUAGAGAAUGCAAGUGAUUUAUCAUAUUGAUCUUCCGUCGGCAAUUGCAAGCUGAUUUAGCAGCUUUUGUUUCUUUGCUCUCUCGGAGCUUUGCCCUUAAUAUUCAACGAAAAAACAGAACAAUUUAUUUUGUUUUUUCUUUUGUGCAAUGGUCUUCCUAUGCAAGUGGUUUGUCCA